GGCUUCCCAGAGCGAGAAAACUCCCACCUGGCUUCACGGACGCCUCAAGCUGAGUUUUGAUUCUGACAUCUCUCUGCUUUCUGGAGUGCCCUGGAGAGUGGCCCAGCGAAAAUAACCAAACGAUGGACUAGAAGUUUCUGUUUCACACACAGGCACAGGGCGGAGGAGGCACUAGAGUUUUCUAAGCAGCCGAGACUCACUUGGGCUACAAUCUCUCCAUGAUCCAGCACCUCUUCAGGAGUCCUUCAGCAUGCCUGGCUUGGAGUGAGCUCUCAGUGCCUGGGUGGCCUCUAGUUUACUGCUGGUUCACUGGGCUCCUUCUGCCUCAAUGGGCCAGCUCCCAGGACUAUAAAUCAUAUAGAUGUGAACUCCAUCCUGAAGAGCUCCUGAACUACAUUUGGAAGAGAGGCAUGCUGGUACCCAAGUGUGUGGAUCCACUUCCAGGGGUGAUGUCAAAACUAUGUCUCUAGUACCAGCCUCCUGAGAAGUCCCACUCACAUUGCCAAGUUCCUGCUGGCAUUGCCAUGUGAGUGAAUGAAACCUCAGGAAACUUAGUGGAAGCACACUGCCGUCUUUAACCCAGAAGUCAUGGAUAUCUGUGCUCCUAAUCUUUACAAGAAGUGUCAUCAUUUGUCCAUUUGGGCGAGUCUUGAUGUGCAGUCCAGGCUGAUGUAUAACUUGGUAUAUAGAACAGACCGGCCUCAAUGUGAUGGCAAUCUUUCUGCCUUACCUCCUGAAUGCUGGGGACAGUGUGAGCUCCACACCAGCCUGCUUCCCUCUGUUGUUUGCCUCUGGUGUGCGUCAUCUUGACGAAGUCUGACUAUCAGUGUAUCUCCUUUAUCAGUUUCCAAGGAUCUUGUCAUCAAGAAUGGGGUGUUUUUCUGCUUAUUCACAUCCUCAGUCCAGGCCUUGACCUGAGCUUGGUAUCUGUUUGAAACGUGGCAAACUCUGGCAAAUUAAAACUUUGGUACCCUGUAAGCAAACACAGAGAGGGCAUGUUCUCUUCCCCCUUUGGAUUUUUCAAUACACUCAAUUUCAUGAACCUCU
rnacentral:lncRNA from 1 species